GAAUUUAUUCCUCAGAGCCUUUGCUGCAUUUACGAAUUCUGGUUCUGCCCCCAUUUGACCAAAUAUCUGGGGUGACUCUGAGAAUUCUGAUUUCUAAGACAAGGCAGACAUUGUGAAUUUGAAAUAGCAAAUCCCUUUUGUGUCAUUCAAGCCACAAUUUGCUUUUUAUUAGAGCUCCUGUUCUCCAGAUAGCAUCCAGGGCACACAGAGAUAUUUGCCUGAGACUGUUCAAAGAGCUUCAGAAAGCUGCUCCCUCUGAACUCCACACUUAACUUGUAUUAGACGUGCUGGGCUUUGCAGAAGAGAAACACACAGGGCUUCCCUUUGUCCUUGGGGCGGGUCCCCUGUGCUGUGUGCAAGGAAACUUUCUAACUCUCCACUGCCAGGAGCAGAGGGCAGUAGGAACGGCAUCACCCGGGAUGUGUCCUAGGGAUGAGGCUGGCAGGGCGUGGGGGGUGAACUGUCCAGCUCUCUGCAAGGCACACAGAGGCCCGUUCACCCUCUGUAAACGUCGCUAUUUGAAUGCAGAUGCUGGCGGUAGAUCCUUGAGAUGUGCUCAGAGAGAUCUGAGGACACGUGUAUUUAUUUCAGCACCAUCCACAUCCUAGGGCAGGAGCUCACACUCAGGGAAGUGGCUGGCAAGUAAUGAGACUCCAAGCUGAGCUUCCCAAGGAGAGUUUCCAUGUCCCAGAGUUGUGGAAGAGGGGACGAAGCAAUGCUGUGGUCAAAGAAAUUCAGAGACCUGUGCCCAGGCUCAGCCGCCUUCCUGGAAGAAUGUUCUGAACAUUCUACAAAGGCCACACUUCCUCUCCAUACCUCUGCUCCAGCCACCCAGGGAUCCUGCUGCUUCGGCCACAAUGUCCCCUGCCUCUUGCCUCUCUGUACCUGCUGCUUGCUCCUUCUGGAAUGUUCUGUAAAAUAGGUUUCCCGGGGCUGGAUGUUUCCUGGGAUGCUGACUCACACGCAAAUCAGAGGGUCAUACAACCUGUGCGUGUGUGUGUGUGCGCACAGAUAUACGCAGGUGCAUGUGUGCAUGUAUGUGGGUGUGUGUGCACAGAUAUACGCAGGUACAUGUGUGUGUGUGUGUGCACAGAUAUAUGCAGGUACAUGUGUGCGUGUGUGUGUGUGUGCACAGAUAUACGCAGGUGCAUGUGUGCAUGUAUGUGGGUGUGUGUGCACAGAUAUACGCAGGUACAUGUGUGCGUGUGUGUGUGUGUGUGCACAGAUAUACGCAGGUACAUGUGUGCAUGUAUGUGGGUGUGUGUGUGCACAGAUAUACGCAGGUACAUGUGUGCAUGUAUGUGGGUGUGUGUGCACAGAUAUACGCACGUACAUGUGUGUGUGUGUGUGUGCACAGAUAUACGCAGGUGCAUGUGUGCGUGUAUGUGGGUGUGUGUGCACAGAUAUACGCCGGUACAUGUGUGCGUGUAUGUGGGUGUGUGUGCACAGAUAUACGCAGGUACAUGUGUGCGUGUAUGUGGGUGUGUGUGCACAGAUAUACGCAGGUACAUGUGUGCGUGUAUGUGGGUGUGUGUGCACAGAUAUACGCAGGUACAUGUGUGCGUGUAUGUGGGUGUGUGUGCACAGAUAUACGCAGGUACAUGUGUGCGUGUAUGUGGGUGUGUGUGCACAGAUAUACGCA
rnacentral:lncRNA from 10 species